rnacentral:lncRNA from 1 species
AAUUCCUGAGCCGGGAAGACAGUUUUCCUUUCACCCCCUCCCCAUAUCAGCGUCGAGACAUGCUGGGGCGGGGCAGGGCAGUGUGUGGAGGCAGCUUAUAAGGCUGUUUCCAUGUACAUAAACGGCAGGCUUCCUUCAANGUUUUCCUUUCACCCCCUCCCCAUAUCAGCGUCGAGACAUGCUGGGGCAGGGCAGUGUGUGGAGGCAGCUUAUAAGGCUGUUUCCAUGUAGAUAAACGGCAGGCUUCCUUCACCGUAGCCUUUCACCACCACUAAAUCCACAAAUAACAGUUGUAAAAUCAGAAGUUUAUGGUUAUAUGCUUAUCAAUCACAAAGAUGCAAAUUAGCUAAUUUAAGUAGCAUGUUUACACAACAACAAAUGUCCCUAAUGAUUUGGAGUUUUCUAAGGUGGCAAUUCUACAUCGUAUCGUGCCUCUAAUGCUCAACACUCCUUCCUUUCAUAGGACUUCGCCAGGCCCAGAAUAUCCCACUUCCUACCCAGUUCUCAGAAGCACUCCCCCAACUCUGAAACCUCUUUUUUUCCCUCCAGCCAGUCUUCCAUAUGGCUCAGCACUUCUCCUGAUCCCACUCAAAACCCUUCCAUCUCUGCAACCCAGUUCAGAAACCACCCUGCCUACUGCUGGACCAGGAGAUAACAGCCAUCCCAUACUGCAGCCCAGGAAUUUCAGAAGAAAAAGAACAGCAUGCAGUCUCAUCUGAAUGAGAACUGUUUACUCAUCUGUAUUUUUAAGAUAAAACUCUUGGCCAUAACUGAGAUUUUUCAAACAACAAUGAUAAAAAUGAGAAACAAGAAAGAAUGAGAGAAAACGAUGAAAAUAUUACUUAGAGAAGACUUUCAAGGUAACAAAACAAGCAACAGAUGCCAAGGUUUGACAGCACCUGAAAGACAAAGAGGAAAGCGUUGAUUCAGUGUGAACCUUGUGUAGGCUGAACGAGGAAUGGGAACUAAAUGCUGCAUGCACUCGAAGACUUGCUAUCUUUUAACUGUACACUGAUUAUGUGGUGCAGGGCAAUUUACACCAUGCCAUUAGCAGCUGUGUGGACAAAAAGAAAAGCAGCUAAGAAAAUUAACACUCAGGGCAUGGAGUAAGCAAGUUCAAGCAACACAUGCUUUGUUUUAUGCAUAAAUAAAGUCUAGUUGGCUGCAGACUGGCA